AUUGCUGUUGAGUCAAUUCUGACUCACGUUGACUUGUGGGAAGGGACAAUUGUGCUUGUCUUUUGGCUGGUCUUUUCCCCUCUUCUCUUCCAAUUAUCUGGAUCUUUCUGCCUUCAGAAACAUCCACAGUCUCCUCUAUGGCCAUAGUACUGAGUAGGCAAUCUAGUCCAACUAGUGAAUGGCUGCCAAAACUGUGUCCAGCCAAAACUUAAAUAAACUUAACUUAAAUCUGCAUUUGUGACAAUAUGGCUUGAGAUAUUCCUCUUCAAAAUACUACCAAAAGCACCUCAUAGUAGUAACUGCUAUUCAGGGCAAUGUGUCAGACACGAUAAAAAGUGAAAUCACUCACGUUGUUUUAUUUAAUCCAAUUUAAUUUUUCCACAAACAUAGAUAUCAUUAUCUUCAUUUUAAAGAUGAAGCUGAGACUCACAGGAGAAAAAUAACUUCCUAAAAUCACAUGGCUGAUCCCCGAUGAGUAGUGAUGUAUACUUCUUCCGCAUGCUUACUGGACAUUGAAUAUCAUUUAGUGGAAAAUGCUGUUUAUGUCUUUGCAUUUUCAUUGGGUUAUUUGUAAGAGGUUUUUCCACGUGGAUAUUUCCGUAUGGACAUAUCAUCAACCCAAAACAAUUUAUUGGAAAGACAACCCUUUGUCCACUGCACCUUUGUCAUAAAUCAGGUGUCUAUACAUGCGUGGGUGUAUUUCUGGUUGUCUAUUCUGUUCCUUCCAUCUUUCGUUUUGCCUAAUCUUGGAGCAACACCAAUCAACCAUAUACUAUAGCUUAAAAUAAGGAUUGAUUGUGUAAAUCCUCCAACCUUGUUAUUUUUGGUUGCUUCUGCAUUUUUAUAUAAGUUUUAGAACUGGGAAGAAAUACUUCCUAACUCAGUGACUGACAAAGUAUGGCCCACAAGCCAAAUCUGGCCCAUUAUCUGAUUUGAAAAUAAAGUUACUGGGUCACAGCCACCCUCACUGAUUUACACAUUUUCUGUUACUACUUUUCUACUACAAUAACAGAAUUGAGUAGUUGUGACAGAGACCCUAUGGCCUGUAGAGCUUUCGCUAUCUGGCCUCUCACAGAAAACAUUUGCCAACCUGUCCAAACUCAUUCUAUGAGGCUAGCAUCAUUUUGAUGCUAAAAUCAGACAAAUACAUUACAAACAAACAAAACUACUGACCAGUAUCUCUCAUGAACAUAGGUACAAAAGUUCUAAACAAAAUUUUAGAAAAUCAAAUUCAACAAUAUAUUAAAAGAAUGGUACAUCAUGAUCAAGUAUUCCUGGCUUAUCCCAAAAAUGCAGGGUUUGUUUAACAUUUGAAAAUCAAUCAAUGCAAUACCAUAUUAACAAACUAAAAAGAAAAACUAUAUGAUCAUAGAUACAGAAAAUACAUUUGACAAAGUCCAACAUCAAUUCCUGAAAAAAAAAUCAAUUCUUGAUAAAAGGAGAACUAUGAAAAACCUGCAACUAACAUCAUACUUAAAAAAGGGGAAAGAUUGAGUGUUUUCCCCCUAGAUCAUGAAAAAGACUUUUAUGUCUACUCGCAGCACUUGUAUUCAAUACUGUACUGAAAAUUCUAGCCAGUGCAAUCAGGCAAAAAAAAAAAAAACA